UAAUUUCAAUUCAGUCACACAAUUGAUUAUUUUAUACAGUAUGCUCUUUUAUUAAUAAUAAACAGUGUUGUAUCUCAAAAAAUACACAAGAGACCUGCAACACAUCAGUUUUAUGAAAUACCAGAUUUGUUAGUAAUUUAAYGUCAGUGACAAUAAACAAUCGUUUCAGUGUAUUAUGACAGCUUGUCUUCCUGUUUUUGUUGCAGCAGUGAUGUUCUCGGGCAGCUAUAAAUCUUUAAAUCAGCACUUUGUCAGGGGCUAUUGCACAUAGUAUUAAAUAAAGAAUUUAGAGAUAUCUGGGUUUGUUGAGCCUGAUAUCCUAUUAAAUAAUCUGAAUGUGGCAGUAUGCCCUGUAGGCUUUGAAUGCACCACACAAGUGCCUGCAUCUAAUUGGUCGUGGCGCUGGCUGCCUGUAUAUAAAGGGCCCUCCCUCUACCUGUGUGAMAUGUUUGCCUCCCGGUUCAGACUACCAUGGUUGCGGGUGCUGCACGCUAGCCCCAGGCUAGUGGGUGCAUGAAGGGUGCGUUUAACGACCCUUGAUCCUUUUUAUGGCUACCAGAAUGAGUCUACCUGAUUCCUCCUCCUUUAGAGGAGCUACACUUUAGGCUCAGUGACGCUGCUGUUUAUCCUUUGCCGGUGUUCUGCUGGAGGCCCUAUUUGUUCACUUCCAGUUUCCUAUCUAYGCCGUGUGGUUCCUUGGCCGGCUUCUUACUUGUUGCUGUGUUASACCUUCAUCGGCUCCUGCUGGUUGUCACUCUGCCCUGACUGGCUUAGUGACGCUCAGCUCAAGGUGAUUCUGUGGGUUCCUCAMAGCUGCUGGAUGGAACAUUAAUUCACACCCAAAGUCUACUGCUGCUUGGCUACCUGCUACCGGACGGAGACCUCUGAAUCCUUACCAUUUUUAUAUAUAUAUUUAACAUCUUUUAAAUGAAUGCUGUCUGUUUCUUAUUUUGUUUUUUUGUAUUUGUGACAGGGCAGUGGCCAGCUCCUGGUGUUGGUGGUGGCCUUUCCGAGUGGUGGUACUCCUUUUGGUUUGGUGCACGAUUUUCUUUUGUUUGCUGUGUUUCUUUUCUUUUAGGACACUUCCCUGAAUUUCACUCCUCCCUGAGUUGAGCCAGAACUGACUUAAUGUGUGAGAGGUUUUAAGCUAGUAUUUUUGAAAUAAAAUCAUCGUGUAAUAAACAAACUUAAGGAAUUGUGAGAUCGUCUCAAGCCUGGUCUGUAAGCGGGUCUGUGUGCCUUAAGGUAACUUUUAGAGUGGAGUCAUUAUAACCAAUUUUAUCUUUACUAAAACAGUGCUUUUGAAUUUAAGUUGCCAAUUAUUAUCACACUGCUCCUGCCACAUGAAUAACCUUCAUAAACCCCCUGGAAACUGCAUUGCAAUUUUUUUUUUUUUUAACCAGGCACAGUGACAUCACAUUAAACCUCUGACUUCAUAUUUUUGAAAAAAAAAAAAAAAAAA